rnacentral:lncRNA from 1 species
AACCGACCCCGCCCCUACCCCACCCACUCCUCACCCAGCAUCCAUAAAAGCAUGCUGCACCUUUGGCACAGCGCGACUUCCCUGGCCCUCCCCCUGCGGACCAGUGAACCUCGCCCGAGGGCUCAAUAAAGAAGAUUUUUGCCCUCUUUUUCUCACCUCUCAGCCUUAUUGAUCCAUGGUGCCCUUCCAUUGCCUUUCAUUGGUGCCGAAACCCGGGAGGGGACACCUCCUAAGCCCCCCCAGAGGCUCAGGGGGACUCCCCUCCUGGUCGGAUCAGUCCUCUCCCUCAGUCAGGUCAGGCUUCUCCUCCACGGCCAUCUGUCCAUUUCGUCCGGUUACUUGCUGCCAGGUCGCAGUUGCUGCAGCUACUCCAGUCCAAUUCGGCCGACGCUAGAUCAACUGAGAUGCAAAACCCAUGUUCACAUCAUGAGUGAGUCUUCUAACUCGGACAAUGCAAUCAACAAAUUCUAAGACCAAAUUCCGGUGGCACUGGCUCCAAAGCUCCUGAGUGUGGAAGGAGGUGAACAGGGAAAAGCAGAGAGGACAAAAGUCACAUCCCCUCCCCACAGACCCAUACUGGGGAAGGGUGGAAGAUUUAGCUGCGAGUCAAGUUCAGAAUUUUGAUUAACAUCUUGGCAUGCACAUUCGAAUUUCAGAAUCAAGACUGUUGGCCAUAAAAAAUGACUAUAGCCUUGUGUAUUACCUGAACUGAGCAGUAAAAAAAAAGUCAUGGUCCUUCUGGGGCUUUUAUUCUGAGACAGGAACCCUGAACAGGCAGGAGAAAGGGAAUGUUGACAGAGAAACAAAGACAGUUGGCGACACACGCUGACCGCCAUGCGGACGUCCAUCAAACCCAGCACUGGCCCUGGGUACGUGCGCCUUUGCUAUUACCCCAAUACAUUUUCUUCUGCAGAGCAAGCAACAGAACACAUGCAGACCUUAAUAAAUACCACAAAUUGC